CUCUGCACUAUAAUGGGCACUGUGGUUUUAAGUUACAGGAGAAUAAACACCUACUCAAAUUUUCUGUAUUUGGAGAGAGCAGUAGAUUUGUGUUCCUUGAUAACUCAGAUGUGUGAUGGGAUAGGAGGGAAAUCUCACCAAAUAUAGCUUAUCUAGUAUAGUACUUAUCGAAUACCUACCCAGGCCUAUCCCCAGAUAUACAAUAACAAGUAGUGCAGCAUCUCUGCUUCAUGGAUAGACUAUCCAGGGCAGGGACCUGCGUGCAAACUGAGCAUGCUACACCGGGUAAGUGUUCUAAGGGAGAUAUCCAAGUGCAUUGCAUUAUAAGGCGUCCAAGACGCGUGGCAAGCUGUUUGUACUGAACGUGGGGAAGAACUGGUUUCACCUCAUCUCAGACUGGUUGCCUAGAACUCCAGCGGGAGCCUUGGCUGGAAGCUGAGGGGUUUGGGAGAAAGGUGAGCACAGGCUUUUAUAGGGGGCCUUUCAGCCAGCUGAGGCCACAACUUGCUAAGCACGCUUAACCUCUGCAGGCCCAAGGUGGUGUGCGACAAGCAUCCCCAGGGCCUGCUGGACAAUCAUUACUUUUAUUAUGCUUCUUUACUGUCAGGUACUCUGAAAUCCACAUGGACUGCUCUUAUGAUUUCAGGUUGUCCCCAAAGAGAAACUCAAGAAUCGGUGAUGAGCAGAGCAGGAGAGGGAGCCGCCUGCCUAUCUCAAAAGGGCACAUCACCAUAAUCACAGAUAUACCAUCCGACACACCUCAGCGGAUCCUAAUACCAGCAAUGGAUCGAGCCCGAGUGAAGGAGCAAUUCAGAUCCAGAAACGUCCUUGGGAAAAGCCUGAAGUUGAAAUAGGAAGGAGAAGCCGUGGAGAGCGGGAGGGGUUGCAGCUCGGACUCGCUCCCCCUCCGGCAGGCAGGGCGGCGGCCUGUUUCAGCAUCAGUACCCGAGGAGGGCCGCUUCCUCCUCUUCCUAGAGACCGCCUCAUUAUCUAAGAGAUCCUGCCGAACAGAAGCUUUUCCUGUCCCGAGAGCCUCACCUCCCUUGAUUUCACACAUUGCUCCUCAUUUUGGCUGGCCCUAUCAGGACCAAGAGACACUCACUUCCCCUGGCAUUCAGCCACUUAGAGCUGGAGGCAGAGUAAGCGCCUAUUGUCAUCCUCCCAAGGCCCGGUGGGAGUGAUGCUGACAUGCGACCCAUUGAUCCUGCCCUCUACCUGACGCUUUUCCCAAGCCUGGCCUCGUCUGGUCAUCCCACUGAACCGACAAGGUAGGUGAGGCUAGCUCCAUUUGACACACCCAAGGCCACACAACAGACCAGUGUCUCCAACCCUGGCCAGUCCUCUGUGCUUUCAGACGAGCCGGUCACCCACAACAACAUGCCUACCAUUCCACUCAAGAGUACAUGGAAUGAGGUAGCAUACCACGAUUCCCAGUGAUUGAGUUUAGAUUUAAUGUUAGUAAGGGUAAUUUUCACAUUUCAUAGAGAAGAUCAAUAGUUAGGUCAUGAAAUCUAACAAAAAGUUCUUCCUUUCAAACUUUGGUUUCUGGGGGUGCCUGGGUGGCUCAGGUGGUUAAGCAUCCAACUUUUGAUUUCGACCCAUGAUAUCAGGGUCCUGGGAUCAAGCCCCACAUUGGGCUCCACGCUCAGUGGGGAGUCUGCUUGUGAUUCUCUCUCUCUGCCCCUCCCCCCACUCAUGCUUUCUCCCUCUCUCUCUCUCAAAAUAAAUAAAUCUUUUUUUAAAUUUUUUUUAAUUUU
rnacentral:lncRNA from 12 species